UGCCAGACUCCUACGGGAGGCAGCAGUGAGGAAUAUUGGUCAAUGGUCGGGAGACUGAACCAGCCAAGCCGCGUGAGGGAUGAAGGUACAGAGUAUCGUAAACCUCUUUUGUCAGGGAACAAAGGCGGGGACGUGUCCCCGGAUGAGUGUACCUGAAGAAAAAGCAUCGGCUAACUCCGUGCCAGCAGCCGCGGUAAUACGGAGGAUGCGAGCGUUAUCCGGAUUUAUUGGGUUUAAAGGGUGCGUAGGCGGACGCUUAAGUCAGGGGUAAAAUGGGGGGGCUCAACCUCGUCGAGCCGUUGAAACUGGGUGCCUUGAGUGGGCGAGAAGUACGCGGAAUGCGUGGUGUAGCGGUGAAAUGCAUAGAUAUCACGCAGAACUCCGAUUGCGAAGGCAGCAUACCGGCGCCCGACUGACGCUGAGGCACGAAAGCGUGGGGAUCGAACAGGAUUAGAUACCCUCGUAGC
rnacentral:rRNA from 1 species